rnacentral:rRNA from 1 species
AUUGAACGCUGGCGGCAGGCCUAACACAUGCAAGUCGAGCGGAUGAAGGGAGCUUGCUCCUGGAUUCAGCUGCGGACGGGUGUGUAAUGCCUAGGAAUCUGCCUUGUAGUGUGGGAUAACGUCCGGAAACGGGCGCUAAUACCGCAUACGUCCUGAGGUAGAAAUUGGGGGAUCUUCGGACCUCACGCUAUCAUAUGAGCCUAGGUCGGAUUAGCUAGUUGGUGGGGUAAAGGCCUACCAAGGCGACGAUCCGUAACUGGUCUGAGAGGAUGAUCAGUCACACGGGAACUGAGACACGGUACAGAAUCAUACGGGAGGCAGCAGUGGGGAAUAUUGGACAAUGGGCGAAAGCAUGAUCCAGCCAUGCCGCGUGUGUGAAGAAGGUAUUCGGAUUGUAAAGCACUUUAAGUUGGGAGGAAGGGAAGUAAGUUAAUACCUUGCUGUUUUGACGUUACCAACAGAAUAAGCACCGGCUAACUUCGUG